UUAAAUUAUGACAAAUGUAUGGUUAUAAAUAAAUACAUAUGUACUAAUAAUAUACAUAUAUAUAUAUAUAUAAAUAAUAAAUAAGUAUUACUAAUUAAGUAUAAAUAAUAUAUAUAUAUAUAUAUAUAUAUAUAUAAUAGUUUAAUGCAAAUAAAAGAAAGAAAAAGAAGGAGAGAAACAGAAUAGAAGAAAUGAAACAGAGAAGGAAGGAAAAAAAGAAAGGAAAGAAGAAAAGGGAAAAUUGAGGGUUUGAAGUUUGAAGUUUAAAUAGCUAACAUUGUGCCGGAAAUUUCGACUAAGCAAGAAAAAGGCAAAGUCGAUGAGGGUUAGCUCAGAAAUUAUGGUUAAGUUAAAGCUACAACGUAGAAUCAACAUCCCAGGCCGAUCCCAAAUUCAAUGAGGUAAAACAUGUUAAUAGUUGGUAAUGACAUGUACCUAGGAUAUUUUAUGUGUGUGUAUUUUGAAUUGUCAAUGUAUUGAUGAAAUAUAGAGAAUUAGGUUUGGUAAUGGUAUAAAAUAGGAUUUGGCUUAAUAGGUAUAAAUUUGAAUUAUUUGAUAAUUUGUUAAAUUUGUGAUAAGUGUAAAUAAUUAUUUUAAUUAAUAAUCGUAAAUGAACUGUACUGAUUGGCAA